CCUACGGGAGGCAGCAGUGAGGAAUAUUGGUCAAUGGGCGCAAUCCUGAACCAGCCAAGUCGCGUGAAGGAUGACUGCCCUACGAGUUGUAAACUUCUUUUGUACCGGGGUAAAAUGCCUCACGUGUGCCUUUUUGUAUGUACUUUAUGAAUAAGGAUCGGCUAACUCCGUGCCAGCAGCCGCGGUAAUACGGAGGAUCCGAGCGUUAUCCGGAUUUAUUGGGUUUAAAGGGAGCGUAGAUGGGUUGUUAAGUUAGCUGUGAAAGACUGAGGCUCAACCGUGAAAUUGCAAUUGAUACUGGAAGACUAGAGAACAGAUGCGGCAGGCGGAAUUCGUGGUGUAGCGGUGAAAUGCAUAGAUAUCACGCAGAACUCCGAUUGCGAAGGCAGCUUACUAGACUGGCACUGACACUGAUGCACGAAAGCGUGGGGAUCAAACAGGAUUAGAUACCCGAGUAGUC
rnacentral:rRNA from 1 species